UACGGCAGCGGGGUAGUGCUNNNACUACUGUCCGGCGAGUGGCGAACGGGUGAGUAAUAUAUCGGAACGUACCGAGUAAUGGGGGAUAACCAAUCGAAAGAUUGGCUAAUACCGCAUACGUCCUACGGGAGAAAGCGGGGGAUCGCAAGACCUCGCGUUAUUCGAGCGGCCGAUAACUGAUUAGCUAGUUGGUGGGGUAAAGGCCUACCAAGGCGACGAUCAGUAGCGGGUCUGAGAGGACGAUCCGCCACACUGGGACUGAGACACGGCCCAGACUCCUACGGGAGGCAGCAGUGGGGANUUUUGNACANUGGGNGCACCCCUGANCCAGCCAUGCCGCGUGUAUGAAGGAGGNCCUUCGGGUUGUAAAGUACUUUUGUUAG
rnacentral:rRNA from 1 species